rnacentral:lncRNA from 1 species
UACGGAUAAAGAAAGAAGACAAAGAAAGUAAUUCAAGGAGAAAAAGAAAUAUGGAAGAUUUAAAAUAGCUAGAUAGCUUUACGUAAAUAUCAUGUAACUACCCUUAGGCUUUUUGACUUUUCUUAGUCUUUUAUGGCAAGUAGUGCCAUUAUUAGAUUUUUGGCAAGUAGUGCCAUUAUUAGAUUAAACAUUAGCUUUAGGACUCUUUGCACGAACGUUUUUCUUAUUUUUG